rnacentral:rRNA from 1 species
GACAGAGGAUGCAAACGUUGCUCGGAAUCACUGGGCGUAAAGGGCGUGUAGGCGGGAAGGAAAGUCAGAUGUGAAAUCCCCAGGCUCAACCUGGGAACUGCAUUUGAAACUCCCUUUCUUGAGUACCGGAGAGGAAAGUGGAAUUCCUGGUGUAGAGGUGAAAUUCGUAGAUAUCAGGAGGAACACCAGUGGCGAAGGCGGCUUUCUGGACGGUAACUGACGCUGAGACGCGAAAGCGUGGGGAGCAAACAGG